GUAGGUGAACCUGCGGAGGGAUCAUUAACACGAAUUACACUUAUAGCAAUAUAAGUCGUUUAUUCAAUCAACCAACAACGUGCACUCGAAUUCUUUAUUGAAUUCAUUUCUCCCUUUAGUAUCAUAGUGUUCACACAUGUGAUAUCAUCGAUUGCGUUAUCUAUACCUAUUAAUAUAUGUGAUAGUAUUUUGUUUUCUCACGAAUUCAAGUACAUAUUAAUAACCAUAGAUAUGAUGAUAUUGCUUCACU
rnacentral:misc_RNA from 1 species